CGGCCGCGUCGACGCCUGAACCAGCCAAGUAGCGUGAAGGAUGAAGGUCCUACGGAUUGUAAACUUCUUUAUUCGGGAAUAAACCCUUUUACGUGUAAGAGGCUGAAUGUACCGAAGGAAUAAGGAUCGGCUAACUCCGUGCCAGCAGCCGCGGUAAUACGGAGGAUCCAAGCGUUAUCCGGAUUUAUUGGGUUUAAAGGGUGCGUAGGCGGCUUAUUAAGUCAGGGGUGAAAGACGGUGGCUCAACCAUCGCAGUGCCUUUGAUACUGAUGAGCUUGAAUACACUAGAGGUAGGCGGAAUGUGACAAGUAGCGGUGAAAUGCAUAGAUAUGUCACAGAACACCAAUUGCGAAGGCAGCUUACUAUGGUUGUAUUGACGCUGAGGCACGAAAGCGUGGGGAUCAAACAGGAUUAGAUACCCUGGUAGUCCACGCCCUAAACGAUGAAUACUCGAUGUUAGCGAUAUACAGUUAGCGUCUAAGCGAAAGCGUUAAGUAUUCCACGUCGACGCGGCCG
rnacentral:rRNA from 1 species